GAAUUAGUCAGUCUAAUAGUGGCUGAGACAUUUCCAUGUUUAUUUCAGAUUUUACAGUCCACUUUGAUGCAUGUUCCUGUAGUGAAAUGAUGUCAUGUUUAAUCAUUUUUGACUUGUCACUGUAUGAGACACUCAGGUUUUAUAACAUUAAUGACAUUAAAUCUUGAUCAAAUAUCACAGUAGGUCAUAAGCUGUGACUUCUUAAAUAAAAACACUGAGUUCUUACAUCAAGCAUGUUCCUCCAGCCGCUGGUUUUACCGCUUAAUAACGGCUCCGCAUGACACAAUCCAGCGUUGUUGAUGCAAACAUCUACGCCUUUGUGCUGCGCUUUGAUGGUUGCAAACAUGGCCAGAAUGUCCUCCUCUUUGGUCAAAUCACAUUUGAUA